GGUCCCGGUGUGAGUCGUGCAGGACAGGUGUUCCGGGCUUAAUUACCGUCUUCCGUGUUUUGUCCACCUUCGGAAUGGGCUUCUGCACACUUUCAGCUGCCGAGCCCAGGUGUUGCUGAGUGCCGGGUCUGGGGGCCACAUGGGGACUGCCGCAAGUAAGCCGUCGGGCCACGCCUCAACGGCAGGGCGCGAUGGGCCGAACCCCCACUGAGCCUUUAAUGUGACCCUCUGGCCGGCACUCCGCCAUCACCACCACUACUACAGCUACUACACGGCUACAAUUACCGCUCCUGCUGCUCCUGUUGCUGCUACUACUGCGGUAAUCCUCGACACACCGCUCGCUGCCCGGGACAACACAACCUUCCGCCGCUUACAUCCAAUACCGCCACUACAACGACCAUCGGCCCUAGCUACGGGAAAGAAAUGGCUGGCAAAGGAAACAAACACCUGGCGAGGAAACAAACACCCUUGCACCUUGAAAUAGUUCCCUGCACGGCGGCGCCCAAACCUCGGAUACCCGGUGAAGGGAAACGGUUGUAAAUAGCGGCACUCCACUCUUGGGUGGCGUAAAAAGAGAAACAUACAAGGUAGUUAAUUAUCCAGUACCGCUUUCCAUUAUUACCUAAGGAACAAACGGGAGAGAGAGGGAGAAGGAGAGAGGUAGGUAGAGCAAGAGAGGGAGAGAGAGAGAGAGAUAUACACGACAGGCUAGCAGACAGAACCUUAUUUGACUUAGCGGAACAAAGGGCAAUGCAGGGUCCACGAACUUCCCGCCUCCUCCUCCUGUGAAGUUAGCACAAUGCCGCGGCCCAACCCCGGGAGUGGCUUGGAUUCGGCCUCGGUAUCUAAUGCGGCGACGGAGUUGGGCACGAGUUUGACAGGAAUUGUGUGCGGUUCGUUGCUUCCUCCUUCUUGCGAGUGGACGAGAUGGUAAUGGCGGCGAGCAAGGAGGGAAAAUGAAGGGGAAAGAUGGAGGAAGAAGAGGAGGAAGAGGACGAGGAUGAGGCGGGAGAUGAGGUUGAGGAGUAUGAAGAGAAGGAAAAAGGAAAUGAUGAAGAAAAAUAUGAAGAUAAAGACCAAUAAAGAGGCGUAUGGAGAUGAAAACGCAGAAGUGGGUGGCACGGGGAUCAUGAGGUACGGAAGAAAGGAAGAUGAAGACGAAUGAAAACAAGAGCGAAAGAAAGGCAAGGAGCGUGUUGAUAGUAAAGGCAAAAAUCUAGAAGUACGUAAGAAGGAGAAAGGACAAAAAAGAAGGAAAAGAAGGAAAACCAAAUAAAUAUUGAGUACGGUGGUGACGGAACGGGGAAAAAAAUGGGCGGUGUUUGUGUGUGAGUGAAUGAGAGUUGAUGGCGUCGAGUUCUAUGAAAAUUUA